UACCAGCACCCCGAGUGGUCGGGACGUUUAUUGGGCCUAAAGCAUCCGUAGCCGGUUCUACAAGUCUUCCGUUAAAUCCACCUGCUUAACAGAUGGGCUGCGGAAGAUACUAUGGAGCUAGGAGGCGGGAGAGGCAAGCGGUACUCGGUGGGUAGGGGUAAAAUCCGUUGAUCCAUUGAAGACCACCAGUGGCGAAGGCGGCUUGCCAGAACGCGCUCGACGGUGAGGGAUGAAAGCUGGGGGAGCAAACCGG
rnacentral:rRNA from 1 species